rnacentral:rRNA from 1 species
AUUGAACGCUGGCGGAAUGCUUUACACAUGCAAGUCGAGCGGCAGCGCGGCCUUCGGGCUGGCGGCGAGCGGCGAACGGGUGAGUAAUGCAUCGGAACAUGCCCAGUCGUGGGGGAUAACACUUCGAAAGAAGUGCUAAUACCGCAUACGUCCUGAGGGGGAAAGCGGGGGAUCGCAAGGCCUCGCGCGAUUGGAGUGGCCGAUGUCAGAUUAGCUAGUUGGUGGGGUAAAGGCCUACCAAGGCGACGAUCUGUAGCUGGUCUGAGAGGAUGAUCAGCCACACUGGGACUGAGACACGGCCCAGACUCCUACGGGAGGCAGCAGUGGGGAAUUUUGGACAAUGGGGGCAACCCUGAUCCAGCCAUUCCGCGUGAGUGAAGAAGGCCUUCGGGUUGUAAAGCUCUUUCGGCAGGAACGAAACGGUGGGCUCUAACAUAGUCCGCUAAUGACGGUACCUGAAGAAGAAGCACCGGCUAACUACGUG